ensembl:misc_RNA Metazoa_SRP Metazoan signal recognition particle RNA
GCCAGGCAUGGUGGCACAUGCCUGUAGUUCCAGCUACCAGGAGAGCUGAGAUGGGAGGAUCACUUGAGCCUAGGAGGUCGAGGCUGCAGUGAGCCAAGAUCUUGGCCACUGCACUCCAGCCUAGGUGACAAAGUGAGAUCCUGUCUCAA